rnacentral:rRNA from 1 species
GGUUGCGAUCAUACCAGCACUAAUGCACCGGAUCCCAUCAGAACUCUGCAGUUAAGCGUGCUUGGGCGAGAGUAGUACUAGGAUGGUGACCCCCUGGGAAGUCCUCGUGUUGCAUCCC